rnacentral:rRNA from 1 species
UACGGGGGGGAGCAAGCGUUGUUCGGAUUUACUGGGCGUAAAGGGCGCGUAGGCGGCCAGCACAAGUCAGUUGUGAAAUCUCCGAGCUUAACUCGGAAAGGUCAACUGAUACUGUGCGGCUAGAGUGCGGAAGGGGCAACUGGAAUUCUCGGUGUAGCGGUGAAAUGCGUAGAUAUCGAGAGGAACACCUGCGGCGAAGGCGGGUUGCUGGGCCGACACUGACGCUGAUGCGCGAAAGCCAGGGGAGCAAACGGG